rnacentral:rRNA from 1 species
UGAGGAAUAUUGGUCAAUGGGCGGAAGCCUGAACCAGCCAAGUCGCGUGAGGGAAGACGGUCCUAUGGAUUGUAAACCUCUUUUGUCGGGGAGCAAGGGUCCGCACGAGUGCGGAGGCGAGAGUACCCGAAGAAAAAGCAUCGGCUAACUCCGUGCCAGCAGCCGCGGUAAUACGGAGGAUGCGAGCGUUAUCCGGAUUUAUUGGGUUUAAAGGGUGCGCAGGCGGAGGAUCAAGUCAGCGGUAAAAAUAGCGGGGGCUCAAACCCCCGCUCGAGCCGUUCGUAAACAUGGUUUUCUAGAGUGAGCGAGAAGUAUGCGGAAUGCGUGGUGUAGCGGUGAAAUGCAUAGAUAUCACGCAGAACUCCGAUUGCGAAGGCAGCAUACCGGCGCUCAAACUGACGCUCAGGCACGAAAAGCGUGGGUAUCGAAACAGGAUUAGAUACC